GGCUCGUUGGUCUAGUGGGGUAUGAUUCUCGCUUCCGUUGGGAGAGGUCCCGGGUUCAAUUCUUGGACGAGCCC
rnacentral:tRNA from 1 species